UGAGGAAUAUUGGACAAUGGGCGCAAGCCUGAUCCAGCCAUGCCGCGUGCAGGAUGACGGUCCUAUGGAUUGUAAACUGCUUUUGCACAGGAAGAAACAUCCCGACGUGUCGGGACUUGACGGUACUGUGAGAAUAAGGAUCGGCUAACUCCGUG
rnacentral:rRNA from 1 species